rnacentral:piRNA from 1 species
UGAUGGAGAAUUGACCGAGUACCAGCA